rnacentral:rRNA from 1 species
AUUGAACGCUGGCGGAAUGCUUUACACAUGCAAGUCGAACGGUAGAGGGGGCAACCCCUUGAGAGUGGCGAACGGGUGAGUAAUAUAUCGGAACGUGCCCAGUCGUGGGGGAUAACGUAGUGAAAAUUACGCUAAUACCGCAUACGAUCUAAGGAUGAAAGCGGGGGAUCGCAAGACCUAGCGCGAUUGGAGCGGCCGAUAUCGGAUGAGGUAGUUGGCAGGGUAAAGGCCUACCAAGCCAACGAUCUGUAGCCGGUCUGAGAGGACGACCAGCCACACUGGAACUGAGACACGGUCCAGACUCCUACGGGAGGCAGCAGUGGGGAAUUUUGGACAAUGGGCGAAAGCCUGAUCCAGCCAUUCCGCGUGCAGGAUGAAGGCCCUCGGGUUGUAAACUGCUUUUGUACAGAACGAAAAGGUCUCUAUUAAUACAAGGGGCUCAUGACGGUACUGUAAGAAUAAGCACCGGCUAACUACGUGCCAGCCGCCGCAGUAA